CCUACGGGUGGCAGCAGUGAGGAAUAUUGGUCAAUGGCCGGAAGGCUGAACCAGCCAAGCCGCGUGAAGGACGAAGGUGCCAAGCAUUGUAAACUUCUUUUGUCAAGGGACAAAAUCAGGCUCGAGAGCCUGAACGAGGGUACUUGAAGAAAAAGCAUCGGCUAACUCCGUGCCAGCAGCCGCGGUAAUACGGAGGAUGCGUGUGUUAUCCGGAUUUAUUGGGUUUAAAGGGUGCGUAGGCGGACUGUUAAGUCAGCGGUAAAAGCCCGGGGCUCAAACCCGGCGAGCGGUUGAAACUGGCUGACUUGAGAAGUGGAGAGGGAUGCGGAAUGCGCGGUGUAGCGGUGAAAUGCGUAGAUAUUGCGCAGAACUCCGAUUGCGAAGGCAGCAUACCGGCGGCGAUCUGACGCUGAGGCACGAAGGCGUGGGUAUCGAACAGGAUUAGAUACCCGUGUAGUC
rnacentral:rRNA from 1 species